GUUGCAUGUUGCUAUAACUAACAAUCAAUCUGCUGUCAUUGCUGGGUACUUUCUUGCUCACAUUGAAGCUCUUGGAGGGACGUAGCCUAUUGAUACCUCAAUGAGCAUCCUAAUACCAGUUCCUUUUAUGUACUAGGUUGCCCUAAGAUUAUAAGAGCAGAUAGAGGAACAGAAAAUGGAACUGUUGCUUUUGUACAAAGAGUGUUCAGACAUGAUUCCGAAGAUGAGUUUUCUGGCGAAAAAGCAUUCAUGUAUGGACCAUCAACUGCCAAUCAUAGGAUAGAGGCAUGUUGGGGGCAACUGAAAUAAUGAAGCACUGUGGUUGUCUGAUUUUUAAGGACUUACAGAGUCAGGGACUCUGAUGGUUCCAACACCAUCCAGCUUGAUUGCCUGAGGUACUGUCUCAUGUCAGUACUUCAAAGAGAACUUGAUGGGAUAGCACGAGAAUGGAAUGCUAAUCGAACAAGGCCAUUGCAGUGUGCUGAAGCACCAGGUGGGAUUCCUGACAUUUUGUACUUUGCACCUGAAGCUGAAGGAGUAAAUAGACACAGGUUUCCUGUUUCCGCUGAAUUCCUGGAGGCUGCAGAGGCCUACGUUAAAAAGAAGCCUGAUCCUUUCCCGCCGGAAUUUUCUGCUUUGGCAGAGCAUGUGAUGGAAGAACAUGGGUUGCAAAAGCAUUCCUCUGCAUUUAUCCAUUGCAAUACAAAAACUAUAAAGCAACUAAACUUG